GCUAGGCAUGAUGGUAGGCACCUGUAAUCCCAGCUACUCGGGAGGCUGAGGCAGGAGAAUUGCUUGACCCCGGGAGGUGGAGGUUGCAGUGAGCCUAGAUCACACCACUGCACUUCAGCCUGAGGAACAGUGGCUCUGUCUCAAAAAAAAAAAAAAAAUAGGAUUAUUCAAUGUUGUCAUCAUUUCCACUCCUAAAUUCUGAAAUGCUUUCUUUGGUAGAGAUGAAAAUGUGGAGCCAUAGCUAGUAGAGAAAGAACAGUAGGACCUGCAGCCUCCCUGGUUUUCCAGGACAAGUCAUUGCUAUGUGUGGCAGGAAUGCCUUACCUUAAAUAACAAAACUGUGAAAAACAAAUUUGUGUUACACUUAAAAUUUGUAAAGCAAUGAGAAAUGUGUGUAUCAUAAAGAGCAUCUUUAAGUUUUUGCUAAAAUAUUAGCCUCUUAAAUUCUCUAGGAACCCCCUCCCCCCCUUUUUUUUCUUUUUGCUAGUCAUUUUUCUAAACCUAUCCUGAAAUCAUGUCAAUUUUCUUUUGUCUGGUUGAAGACAACUAGAUCACUGGAUAAUGGUUUUGCUCAGGUCACAUUGUGACAAGGUUUUAAUGUAGUCCUACUUUGCAGAAGGAGGCCAAGAAGAUGGGCUGUCUAGAACCCCCUUUAAAAGCAUUUGUCUAUUCAGAAAAUUUUCCUGAGUAGCUCUCUACAAAGGCUCUUUUGAUUGUGAUUUCAAGAUCACUUUUGCAGGACUCUGGUCUAUUCGUUCAGACGUCUACCGUGCACAAUUACAAGGAGACUACAACUGAGGCAUCUCAAAGAGCACUGUCAAGCAAGCCUAAGGGCACUGCUGAAGGACAGGGGAACAAAUAGAACUGACGAAGACUGAGGUAUAACAGGAACCCCCAGGCUAUCCACCUGCUCAAGGUAAAGUGUCGUAUUACAUAGGGCAACCUCUGAUUUUGUAAGAGUUCUUCCUAAAGCCAAAGUGUAUGCCUAUUCUGUGUUUCCAGAUUACUUCAUUCUUCCAAAUGAGAACAAGUGUGCAAAAGUUCUUUGAACAUUAGAUGAAUGUUUUGUGUUCAUUAUAAAUUAUGGUUAUCGUCCUGCUUGUUAUGAAGACUAAGAAAGUAGAUCUAGUAUUUGGCUCACACAGGUGAAUGGGUGAGAAUUUGUUAAUCCAUCAGUGAAGUCCUUUCAUUUGAAAGAGGGACUUUCUAUUAUCAAAAGCUGUCCUGUGAAAAAUCACUAUGAGAGUGCCUGAAACACAGGCUUGUCCUGUAGACUGAAUGGUAGAGUGAUUCAGAGCUAAUUCUGGGUUAGACUGCACAGGUCUGAAUCUAUUUGCUCACUGUGUAGUGCUUUAGGAAUACAGUUUAACCUCUCUAUGCUUCAGUUUGUUUGUCCCUAAGAUAGAGCUAAUGAUAGAAACCUACUUUACCCAGUUGUGAAAAUUAACUGACUACAUGUCAAGCACUAACAGUUUCUGGCAUAUAGUAUGCAUAAUGUAAAUUAUGUGAUGAGAAGCGAGAAAAAAUAACUUGGGAAAACGCUGAAUAUCAUGAAAGUCAAAUAGCUAACCAGUAGCUAAGGUCCAAGGUCCCCUCUCUUCCUUUUGUGUGGCACUCUUGUUUCUGGUUCAUCUACUCCCCUUGGGUGUCACCUCCUUGAGUGAAGUACCUGCUGGAGAUGAGAAGAGUGGAACUGGAUCUGCAUGACAACUUUGAUUAGGAUGGAGCUAAGACUUGGCUAUCUCUCUGUUUUGUGUUUUGGAUGGGUGACAUUUUAAAACUGCCAACAUUCAAAUCCUGCUAAUUUGCUUUGUACAGUUUAAAAUGUUUGAUAUCUUUUGUUGUUUAAAGUUUGAGAUUGGUUUUGAAUAUACAGUUUUCCUGCAUUUUGAAGAAGGUUAUGUUUGUUUACCCUGAAGUGGUCUAUGUUCUGUUUUUUUGUUUUACUAUACUUUGCAAAAAACAGAUGGCUGGCUUAUGUUCACUGUUGUGGUGCACUACCUAGUAUCACUUGGUCUUCCUGUUGUCAAGAUGUAGGAAGCAGCGUAAGGGAUGUUGGGCAUUCAGACCCCCAGUUGCCAGCUCUGGUCCUAGUUCCAGAUUGCAUGGAAAUAUUUGAUAACAUUCCUGCACUGAGUUAUCAUGGUCUGAAUAUUUAUGUGAUGCUCUACGAGUGGCACCAAAAUGUUAGUGAUGGAAUUUUCACUAAUGGCACCUUUUCCUGUUUUUAAAUUCUAGAAUCUUAAUAAAUCCAAAGUGUACAUUUUGGUAAUGAUUUCAUUUAGCUAUUUACUUUAAGGACUCCCUUUUCAAGCAUUAACUCUGCACUAAUUUUGACUUAUGAAAAGAUUCAGCAGUAAGAAUAAAAACUGGGCCAAAGCCCAAAGUAAUAAUCCUUCACAAAUAGGAUGGAGUUUUAAAAAUAUGGGCAUCGUGUGUGUAGCUUUGAAAAUAACCAAAGUAUUUGGAAUUAAAAAGUUAGGUGAACAUAAAAAUUGUCAUAACCAAAUCCUUGACAGCUUGAUGGAUGAAGAGCAGAUGGGUUUACGCUGUAUGGGAGGAGGCAUGGAUUUUAGGAGGGACAGCGUCAGAGAGGGAUGGUUAGAAAGUGAGUAAGACAGGUUGCUUUUUGGAAAACAAGGAAAGUCCCUUUAUUAGAACAAGGCAUGAAAUUCUGCCACUAGGUGGCGAUGCCCUAUAACUUUACAACUUAGGGUACAUCACACCAGCACUAUGGAAGAUUUCUCCAUUCUGCACCCCACAAACUCCCUCCCCUCCCUCAUUUUUCAGGAUGACAACACCUUAGAGGUUUAUGGCCAUCAGGAGAAUUUACUACUAAGCUAUAUACUGAUGUAAUGAAAUCUAAUAUAUGUUGUGCAAUGAAUUAUGAGAUGUUAUUUAGUUUCAGGAUUUUAUUACUUCAAUCAGUUAUGACCAUAUUUCCUUUUAUAUGAUUGCUCACUCUUUAAACAUACCAGAUGACUGUAUAAGGAACACCUAAUAAAGACUAUAGAUGUUAAAAUAUUUUAAAUGUUUUAAUUUAUAUGCCAUAAUUUGUUUACAUUCUGGUUAUACCGGUGUUCAUAUUAAAAGCCAUAACAUGUUAGAAUCUGAGAUCUCAGGUCGGAUAGUGCCUCUAAGUUAUAUUUUGCUAAGAAAUUUUAUUGUAUUAGCAAUUGAGCAGGAGAAAAGAACUGAAUCGUUAUAAGGUGGUUAAUUUUUAGCAUAGAUGUCAGAAAGCCUGUUAAUAUUCCAGAGGCUUAUGAUAAACUAUUUAAAUUGUCAUUCUGGAUUCUGAUUAUAUCUCCUACAGAGAAAGAGUGUAUUAUUUGUUGAACUUUUUGUUUGAAUACAUGUGCCUAUUUUUGCAUAAAUGUAAAAAUGUAAUUUUAAAAUAAACCCCUGAAAACUUCUGGUAACAUUA